rnacentral:rRNA from 1 species
AUGGUGGCCGGUUAUAGCAAUCUUGGAGACUACCUGCCCGACGAUGUACAUUAUGAAAUCAUGGAGGUGGACGAACACAAAUACCAUUACGGGAAGCCUCUCGUCAAAGAUGAAAGAUCUCUAACAAUGAUGAUGCGAAGAUUACAUGAUUGGUACAUGAAAACCUGCAGAGAGUCUGAUGGGAUGAGUACUUUGACGCUGAGAGUUAAACCGGAGCAUGACCUCAUUGGAAUUGAACUGCUGAAUGUUCCAUUUGAGGAUUUCUUCCAGUUUUACAAUCAAAAGGCCCUCGAUAAAACAACGAUCACUUGCUACUGUUUAUUGAAGAUCGCCGAAUUGAAAAAAAGACAAAUCGGUGAUAUUGGGUUCAUUAACACAAAUCUCAUAGAUGCAUAUACGGUUGAAAAACAUGCCAAAGAAGCCGAGGCCAACUUGCUACGAUCAUUGGUAUUAAAUCAAAACAAAGAUAUAAUACUCUUUCCUUACAACUUC